rnacentral:tRNA from 1 species
GACGGUUUGGCCGAGUGGUCUAAGGCGCCAGAUUUAGGCUCUGGUCCGAAAGGCCGUGGGUUCAAAUCCCACAGCCGUCA